UUCGACACACUAUCAUUAACUGAAUCCAUAGGUUAAUGAGGCGAACCGGGGGAACUGAAACAUCUAAGUACCCCGAGGAAAAGAAAUCAACCGAGAUUCCCCCAGUAGCGGCGAGCGAACGGGGAGGAGCCCAGAGCCUGAAUCAGUGUGUGUGUUAGUGGAAGCGUCUGGAAAGGCGCGCGAUACAGGGUGACAGCCCCGUACACAAAAAUGCACAUAUUGUGAGCUCGAUGAGUAGGGCGGGACACGUGGUAUCCUGUCUGAAUAUGGGGGGACCAUCCUCCAAGGCUAAAUACUCCUGACUGACCGAUAGUGAACCAGUACCGUGAGGGAAAGGCGAAAAGAACCCCGGCGAGGGGAGUGAAAAAGAACCUGAAACCGUGUACGUACAAGCAGUGGGAGCCUCUUAAUGGGGUGACUGCGUACCUUUUGUAUAAUGGGUCAGCGACUUAUAUUCUGUAGCAAGGUUAACCGAAUAGGGGAGCCGAAGGGAAACCGAGUCUUAACUGGGCGUUAAGUUGCAGGGUAUAGACCCGAAACCCGGUGAUCUAGCCAUGGGCAGGUUGAAGGUUGGGUAACACUAACUGGAGGACCGAACCGACUAAUGUUGAAAAAUUAGCGGAUGACUUGUGGCUGGGGGUGAAAGGCCAAUCAAACCGGGAGAUAGCUGGUUCUCCCCGAAAGCUAUUUAGGUAGCGCCUCGUGAAUUCAUCUCCGGGGGUAGAGCACUGUUUCGGCAAGGGGGUCAUCCCGACUUACCAACCCGAUGCAAACUGCGAAUACCGGAGAAUGUUAUCACGGGAGACACACGGCGGGUGCUAACGUCCGUCGUGAAGAGGGAAACAACCCAGACCGCCAGCUAAGGUCCCAAAGUCAUGGUUAAGUGGGAAACGAUGUGGGAAGGCCCAGACAGCCAGGAUGUUGGCUUAGAAGCAGCCAUCAUUUAAAGAAAGCGUAAUAGCUCACUGGUCGAGUCGGCCUGCGCGGAAGAUGUAACGGGGCUAAACCAUGCACCGAAGCUGCGGCAGCGACACUAUGUGUUGUUGGGUAGGGGAGCGUUCUGUAAGCCUGUGAAGGUGGCCUGUGAGGGUUGCUGGAGGUAUCAGAAGUGCGAAUGCUGACAUAAGUAACGAUAAAGCGGGUGAAAAGCCCGCUCGCCGGAAGACCAAGGGUUCCUGUCCAACGUUAAUCGGGGCAGGGUGAGUCGACCCCUAAGGCGAGGCCGAAAGGCGUAGUCGAUGGGAAACAGGUUAAUAUUCCUGUACUUGGUGUUACUGCGAAGGGGGGACGGAGAAGGCUAUGUUGGCCGGGCGACGGUUGUCCCGGUUUAAGCGUGUAGGCUGGUUUUCCAGGCAAAUCCGGAAAAUCAAGGCUGAGGCGUGAUGACGAGGCACUACGGUGCUGAAGCGACAAAUGCCCUGCUUCCAGGAAAAGCCUCUAAGCAUCAGGUAACAUCAAAUCGUACCCCAAACCGACACAGGUGGUCAGGUAGAGAAUACCAAGGCGCUUGAGAGAACUCGGGUGAAGGAACUAGGCAAAAUGGUGCCGUAACUUCGGGAGAAGGCACGCUGAUAUGUAGGUGAAGCGACUUGCUCGUGGAGCUGAAAUCAGUCGAAGAUACCAGCUGGCUGCAACUGUUUAUUAAAAACACAGCACUGUGCAAACACGAAAGUGGACGUAUACGGUGUGACGCCUGCCCGGUGCCGGAAGGUUAAUUGAUGGGGUUAGCGGUAACGCGAAGCUCUUGAUCGAAGCCCCGGUAAACGGCGGCCGUAACUAUAACGGUCCUAAGGUAGCGAAAUUCCUUGUCGGGUAAGUUCCGACCUGCACGAAUGGCGUAAUGAUGGCCAGGCUGUCUCCACCCGAGACUCAGUGAAAUUGAACUCGCUGUGAAGAUGCAGUGUACCCGCGGCAAGACGGAAAGACCCCGUGAACCUUUACUAUAGCUUGACACUGAACAUUGAGCCUUGAUGUGUAGGAUAGGUGGGAGGCUUUGAAGUGUGGACGCCAGUCUGCAUGGAGCCGACCUUGAAAUACCACCCUUUAAUGUUUGAUGUUCUAACGUGGGCCCCUUACCGGGGUUGCGGACAGUGUCUGGUGGGUAGUUUGACUGGGGCGGUCUCCUCCUAAAGAGUAACGGAGGAGCACGAAGGUUGGCUAAUCCUGGUCGGACAUCAGGAGGUUAGUGCAAUGGCAUAAGCCAGCUUGACUGCGAGCGUGACGGCGCGAGCAGGUGCGAAAGCAGGUCAUAGUGAUCCGGUGGUUCUGAAUGGAAGGGCCAUCGCUCAACGGAUAAAAGGUACUCCGGGGAUAACAGGCUGAUACCGCCCAAGAGUUCAUAUCGACGGCGGUGUUUGGCACCUCGAUGUCGGCUCAUCACAUCCUGGGGCUGAAGUAGGUCCCAAGGGUAUGGCUGUUCGCCAUUUAAAGUGGUACGCGAGCUGGGUUUAGAACGUCGUGAGACAGUUCGGUCCCUAUCUGCCGUGGGCGCUGGAGAACUGAGGGGGGCUGCUCCUAGUACGAGAGGACCGGAGUGGACGCAUCACUGGUGUUCGGGUUGUCAUGCCAAUGGCACUGCCCGGUAGCUAAAUGCGGAAGAGAUAAGUGCUGAAAGCAUCUAAGCACGAAACUUGCCCCGAGAUGAGUUCUCCCUGACUCCUUGAGAGUCCUGAAGGAACGUUGAAGACGACGACGUUGAUAGGCCGGGUGUGUAAGCGCAGCGAUGCGUUGAGCUAACCGGUACUAAUGAACCGUGAGGCUUAACCUUACAACGCCGAAG
rnacentral:rRNA from 2 species